GACGAACGCUGGCGGCGUGCCUAAUACAUGCAAGUCGAACGCAGUGGGGACGGGUGAGUAACACGUGGGUAACCUCCCAUCAGCGGGGAUAACACUCGGAAACAGGUGCUAAACCGAUACUGAUGGAUGGACCCGCUGUGCAUGAGCUAGUUGGGGAGGUAACGGGUCACCAAGGCCACGAUGCACAGACGACCUGGGAGGGUGAUAUGCCGAAUGGGGAGGUGGACACGGCCAUGAUGCCUAGGUGAGGCAGCAGAAUCGAAUUGUCGGCAAUGGACGAGAGUAUGACCGAGCAACGGCACGUAAGUUAAGAAGAUUUUCUGUGCGUAAUAAUCUGUUUUUAGAUAAGCGGUAUCUAACCAGAAAGCCACGGCUAACUACGUGCCAGCCGCCGCGGUAAUAC
rnacentral:rRNA from 1 species